AUUGAACGCUGGCGGCAUGCUUUACACAUGCAAGUCGAGCGGCAGCGCGGGGGCAACCCUGGCGGCGAGCGGCGAACGGGUGAGUAAUGCAUCGGAACGUACCCUGGAGUGGGGGGAUAACGCCGCGAAAGCGGCGCUAAUACCGCAUAUGCUCUGAGGAGGAAAGUGGGGGGACCGCAAGGCCUCACGCUCUGGGAGCGGCCGAUGUCCGAUUAGCUAGUUGGUGAGGUAAAGGCUUACCAAGGCGACGAUCGGUAGCUGGUCUGAGAGGAUGAUCAGCCACACUGGGACUGAGACACGGCCCAGACUCCUACGGGAGGCAGCAGUGGGGAAUUUUGGACAAUGGGGGCAACCCUGAUCCAGCCAUGCCGCGUGAGUGAAGAAGGCCUC
rnacentral:rRNA from 1 species